UGAGUAAUGUCUGGGAAACUGCCUGAUGGAGGGGGAGUAACUACUGGAAACGGUAGCUAAUACCGCAUAACGUCGCAAGACCAAAGAGGGGGACCUGCGGGCCUCUUGCCAUCGGAUGUGCCCAGAUGGGAUUAGCUAGUAGGUGGGGUAACGGCUCACCUAGGCGACGAUCCCUAGCUGGUCUGAGAGGAUGACCAGCCACACUGGAACUGAGACACGGUCCAGACUCCUACGGGAGGCAGCAUG
rnacentral:rRNA from 1 species